AACGAACGCUGGCGGCAGGCCUAACACAUGCAAGUCGAGCGGAGCGGCGGACGGGUGAGUAAUGCCUAGGAAUCUGCCUGGUAGUGGGGGAUAACGUCCGGAAACGGGCGCUAAUACCGCAUACUAGCAGAUGAGCCUCGGGUGGCUUAGCUAGUUGGUGUGGUAAAGGCGUACCAAGGCGACGAGCCGUAACUGGUCUGAGAGGAUGAUCGGUCACACUGGAACUUAGACACGGUCCAGACUCCUACGGGAGGCAGCAGUGGGGAAUAUUGGACAAUGGGCGAAAGCCUGAUCCAGCCAUGCCGCGUGUGUGAAGAAGGUCUUCGGAUUGUAAAGCACUGUAAGUUGGGAGGCGGCACCAACAGAAUAAGCACCGGCUAACUUCGUGCCAGCAGCCGCGGUAAUAC
rnacentral:rRNA from 1 species